rnacentral:rRNA from 1 species
GACGAACGCUGGCGGCGUGCUUAACACAUGCAAGUCGAACGGAAAGGCCCUGCUUUUGUGGGGUGCUCGAGUGGCGAACGGGUGAGUAACACGUGAGUAACCUGCCCUUGACUUUGGGAUAACUUCAGGAAACUGGGGCUAAUACCGGAUAGGAGCUCCUGCUGCAUGGUGGGGGUUGGAAAGUUUCGGCGGUUGGGGAUGGACUCGCGGCUUAUCAGCUUGUUGGUGGGGUAGUGGCUUACCAAGGCUUUGACGGGUAGCCGGCCUGAGAGGGUGACCGGCCACAUUGGGACUGAGAUACGGCCCAGACGCCUACGGGAGGCAGCAGUGGGGAAUAUUGCACAAUGGGCGGAAGCCUGAUGCAGCAACGCCGCGUGCGGGAUGACGGCCUUCGGGUUGUAAACCGCUUUCGCCUGUGACGAAGCGUGAGUGACGGUAAUGGGUAAAGAAGCACCAGCUAACUACGUG